CUGCUUUCAGCUUUCCAUAUAAAGCAAGAAUUGCAUCAUAAACCUCUCUGAAAAAAGGAACUUCUCUCCAUAUCCAUCCAUCAAAGCUGAAAUAAAAGAAACAAUUUAGCUGAGGGGAAACCCUUAAGAUCUUGAAGAAGUAGAGAUGGGAAGAGGGAAGAUUGUGAUCCGAAGGAUCGAUAAUUCAACGAGCAGGCAAGUGACUUUCUCGAAACGAAGAAAUGGAUUGCUUAAGAAGGCUAAGGAGCUGUCAAUACUAUGUGAUGCAGAAGUUGGCCUGGUCAUCUUCUCCAGCACUGGCAAGCUUUAUGAUUAUGCAAACACUAGGUCAGAUUAUCAUCUCUGAUCUUUUUCACUACUUCUUUAAAGCUAAUCAAUUUGUAUUCAUAUGGUUAUGUGCCCUAUUAUUUAUUCAUUGAAGUGUGUAUAAGCAAGCAUGCCUUUAUUUUUAUAUUUUCCCCAGAAAAAAGUACUAUUGAAGUUCCAGAAUUUCAAGAAUUUCAUUACAGCUUUAUAUUUGGUCGAUGGAGUAUAA